rnacentral:rRNA from 1 species
UACGGAGGGUGCGAGCGUUAUCCGGAUUCACUGGGCUUAAAGGGUGCGUAGGCGGGCAGGCAAGUCAGUGGUGAAAUCUCCGGGCUUAACCCGGAAACUGCCAUUGAUACUAUCAGUCUUGAAUACCGUAGAGGUAAGCGGAAUAUGUCAUGUAGCGGUGAAAUGCUUAGAUAUGACAUAGAACACCAAUUGCGAAGGCAGCUUACUGGCCGAAUAUUGACGCUGAGGCGCGAAAGCGUGGGGAUCAAACAGG